UGGGGAAUCUUGCGCAAUGGUCUGACGACUGACGCAGCGACGCCGCGUGUGGGAGGACGCCCUUCGGGGUGUAAACCACUGUUGCCCGGGACGAACCGCUGGUUUCGACCAGCCUGACGGUACCGGGUGAGGAAGCACCGGCUAACUCCGUGCCAGCAGCCGCGGUAAUACGGAGGGUGCGAGCGUUGUCCGGAAUCACUGGGCGUAAAGGGCGCGUAGGCGGCGCGAGAAGCGUGCGGUGAAAGCCCGGGGCUCAACCCCGGGUCGGCCGUGCGAACUCUCGGGCUCGAGCACUGUAGGGGCAGGCGGAAUUCCGGGUGUAGCGGUGGAAUGCGUAGAGAUCCGGAAGAACACCGGUGGCGAAGGCGGCCUGCUGGGCAGUGGCUGACGCUGAGGCGCGACAGCGUGGGGAGCAAACAG
rnacentral:rRNA from 1 species